rnacentral:rRNA from 1 species
GAUGAACGCUAGCGGCAGGCCUAAUACAUGCAAGUCGGACGGGAUUCAGGAGCUUGCUUCUGAUGAGAGUGGCGCACGGGUGCGUAACACGUAUGUAACCUCCUUUUUUAGGGGGAAUAGCCCCUGAAAGAGAGAAUAAAGCCCCACUAAAAUACCGCCCAACAUUUUGUUAAUAUUAAAAUAUUAAUAGAAUAAGAAUGGGAAUGCGGAACAUUAGCUAGAUGGCGGGGUAACGGCCAACCAUGGCGACGAUGUUUAGGGGAUCUGAGAGGAUGGCCCCCCACACUGGUACUGAGACACGGACCAGACUCCUACGGGAGGCAGCAGUAAGGAAUAUUGGUCAAUGGGCGGAAGCCUGAACCAGCCAUGCCGCGUGCAGGAAGACGGCCCUACGGGUUGUAAACUGCUUUUAUACGGGAAUAAACCCAGAUACGUGUAUCUGGCUGAAUGUACUGUAAGAAUAAGGAUCGGCUAACUCCGUG